rnacentral:lncRNA from 1 species
CAGGGUCUUGCUCUGUUGCCCAGGCUGAAGUGCAGUAGCAUGAUCUUGGCUCAAGUCAACCUCCACCUCCCGAGUUCAAGCAAUCCUCCCAUUUCAGCCUCCUGAGUAGCUGAUACCACAGCAGGCAGAAGGGAAGAUGAGUUCGUUUUCAAAAAUACCAACGUUGAAACUCUGCACAAGUUUGUUAUUUAUUUAUUCCCAGAGAGAGAGACACCUUCCCAUUGUAAAGCAUUCCAGAAUUCCUUCCUCUGAGAGCGGGACAGGAUCCUCUCUAGAAUGUUGAUCUUAUGACCUACAGUCAAACAAGGAUUAGCAAAUGUGGCAUUGCUUUCCCAUUAGGAUUAGCUGUCAACCAUCAGCUGUAAUAGUAGAAAAAUCACAGCUGUUCUCCAAGCAAGCCCAGAAGAUGAUGCUAGGAAGUUACUAUCAGUUUCUAUCCAG